CGACCCGACUCUCCACUCGUCGUCCUGCACAAACCCCCAAAACCCUACCGCCGCCGCCGCCAUGUCCUCGGCGCCGUCUCCGGCGAGCCGCCGCCCCCCGGGCCCGCUGGCGCUGGGGCUGGAGUCCUCGGCCAACAAGAUCGGCAUCGGCGUGGUCUCCCUCUCGGGCGAGAUCCUCUCCAACCCGCGCCAUACCUACGUGACCCCGCCGGGCCACGGCUUCCUUCCCCGCGAGACCGCGCAGCACCACCUCGUGCACCUCCUCCCGCUCCUCCGCGCCGCGCUCGCCGACGCCGGCGUCGCCCCCGCCGACCUCGCCUGCGUCUGCUACACGAAAGGCCCCGGCAUGGGCGGCCCGCUCCAGGUCGCCGCCGCGGCCGCCCGCGCGCUCUCCCUCCUCUGGAGGAAGCCACUCGUGGCGGUCAACCACUGCGUCGCGCACAUCGAGAUGGGGCGCGCGGUCACGGGGGCCGUGGACCCCGUCGUGCUCUACGUCUCCGGGGGGAACACCCAGGUCAUCGCCUACAGCGAGGGGAGGUACAGGAUCUUCGGGGAGACUAUCGAUAUCGCAGUUGGGAACUGCCUCGACCGCUUUGCCAGGGUCCUUGAGCUCUCCAAUGACCCUAGCCCCGGGUAUAACAUCGAGCAGCUUGCAAAGAAGGGAGAAAAAUUCAUUGAUCUCCCAUAUGCUGUAAAGGGUAUGGAUGUGUCAUUUAGUGGCAUAUUGAGCUUUAUUGAAGCUGCAGCAAUUGAAAAGCUUAAAAAUAAUGAGUGCACACCUGCGGACCUAUGCUACUCAUUGCAGGAAACUGUCUUUGCCAUGCUUGUUGAAAUUACUGAACGCGCCAUGGCACAUUGUGAUUCAAAGGACGUUCUUAUUGUUGGUGGUGUUGGUUGCAAUGAACGUUUACAAGAGAUGAUGAGGAUUAUGUGCUCGGAAAGAGGGGGUAGGCUGUUCGCAACUGAUGACCGCUAUUGUAUAGAUAAUGGGGCAAUGAUUGCAUACACUGGUUUACUCGCGUAUGCACAUGGUGUGACCACUCCCCUGGAGGAGUCAACAUUUACACAAAGAUUCAGAACUGAUGAGGUCCAAGCGAUUUGGAGGGAGAAGGAGAUGCCUGUGUUGAGUAAUAUCCAUGCAGAUGCAAUGGCUGAAGUAUCCAAGGAUGAAGCCUCUAUGCCAACUCCAAUCAUUGUAGAUUGCUGAGUCCCUCAUAUGCCACUGAAUACUUGACAGUUCCACUUCCACAUGAGGAUGACAUGUGGGGUGCGAUAUCCCACCUCCAAAGGUCCAACGAGUAGUAAAUGCUUAAUAGUGUAGGAGCAUUCAUGCAUGAGAUGCCUUUGCUUGCUGGUUUGGAGGAAGCCUCGAGGCUCAUGGGCUCAUUGCAGGCGGCUUGUACUACCCUGCUGCAGUAUGAGCCUCGCAGUUGCAAAGCAUUUACAGCAAGAUACUGAUCUGCAACCUGGUAAAAUGAAUGUGUUGUACUCCUAUGUCACAUUCGCACGUGCCAAUAGCUGACAGUGAUCAAACUCAACAACAUUCUGGUUAGUCAAGACUUUUUAUCCCCUUUGCUUGACCCUUACCGACCGUUUGUUGUAAAAUGUAAACUAGUCAGUAUCAGGAUCAGCCAAGCUAGGGUAACUCUUAAGCUACUCACUCGAGUGAUGGUGUAUUGGCGCUGUUUCGGUUUGUUUCCACGGAAUGUGUACAGAUUGCGUUACACAGAAGCUAGUUGUUCGGACGCGUAUAUUGAUAUCUUUCUGUUUGGCAGAGACCUUUAUA